rnacentral:rRNA from 1 species
AUACGUAGGGGGCGAGCGUUGUCCGGAAUUACUGGGCGUAAAGGGUGCGUAGGCGGGAUAGCAAGUCAGAUGUGAAAUACCCGGGCUUAACUCGGGGGGUGCAUUUGAAACUGCUGUUCUUGAGUGCAGGAGAGGCAAGUGGAAUUCCCAGUGUAGCGGUGAAAUGCGUAGAUAUUAGGAGGAACACCGGUGGCGAAGGCGACUUGCUGGACUGUAACUGACGCUGAGGCGCGAAAGUGUGGGGAGCAAACAGGAUUAGAUACCCUGGUAGUCCACACUGUAAACGAUGAAUGCUAGGUGUAGGGGGUAUCGACCCCUUCUGUGCCGCAGUCAACACAAUAAGCAUUCCGCCUGGGGAGUACGGCCGCAAGGUUGAAACUCAAAGGAAUUGACGGGG